AUUGAACGCUGGCGGCAUGCCUUACACAUGCAAGUCGAACGGCAGCGGACCUUCGGGUGCCGGCGAGUGGCGAACGGGUGGGUAAUAUAUCGGAACGUACCUUUCAGUGGGGGAUAACGUAGCGAAAGUUACGCUAAUACCGCAUAUUCUGUGAGCAGGAAAGCAGGGGAUCGCAAGACCUUGCGCUGAUUGAGCGGCCGAUAUCAGAUUAGCUAGUUGGUGAGGUAAAGGCUCACCAAGGCGACGAUCUGUAGCGGGUCUGAGAGGAUGAUCCGCCACACUGGAACUGAGACACGGUCCAGACUCCUACGGGAGGCAGCAGUGGGGAAUUUUGGACAAUGGGCGCAAGCCUGAUCCAGCCAUGCCGCGUGAGUGAAGAAGGCCUCGG
rnacentral:rRNA from 1 species